UAAUCCUCAAAGAAGUCUUCGUUCUCUGGCUGACUGCCAAACCCUGGUACACAUUUAUUGCAAUUUGAUUCUCAAGAAUCUCCAAUGGAUCCAUAGACUUCGUGCUAUGGAUAAAGGAUAAAGAUUCUGUCUCCUGAUGUGUGAUCCAGCUACAAAUUGGUUUAAAUGCUCUCCAGUCACAUUAUGUUUGGACUCUGAGCUGUGAGCUUCUCAUUUUCAGAUGCCAUGGGGAAAUGGGUGCCAGAAUUCUCUUCACGUUUCCAACAUUUCAGAAUCAGAGUUUUCAAAAAGAGAGAAUAUAAUCUUGGGGGAAGGAGAACCAAAAACCUUGUAACUGAUUGA
rnacentral:lncRNA from 1 species